rnacentral:rRNA from 1 species
GACGAACGCUGGCGGCGUGCUUAACACAUGCAAGUCGAACGGAAAGGCCCUGCUUUUGUGGGGUGCUCGAGUGGCGAACGGGUGAGUAACACGUGAGUAACCUGCCCUUGACUUUGGGAUAACUUCAGGAAACUGGGGCUAAUACCGGAUAGGAGCUCCUGCGGCAUGGUGGGGGUUGGAAAGUUUCGGCGGUUGGGGAUGGACUCGCGGCUUAUCAGCUUGUUGGUGGGGUAGGGGCUUACCAAGGCUUUGACGGGUAGCCGGCCUGAGAGGGUGACCGGCCACAUUGGGACUGAGAUACGGCCCAGACUCCUACGGGAGGCAGCAGUGGGGAAUAUUGCACAAUGGGCGGAAGCCUGAUGCAGCAACGCCGCGUGCGGGAUGACGGCCUUCGGGUUGUAAACCGCUUUCGCCUGUGACGAAGCGUGAGUGACGGUAAUGGGUAAAAAAGCACCGGCUAACUACGUG